rnacentral:rRNA from 1 species
GCGGAGGAAAAGAAACUAACAAGGAUUCCCCUAGUAACGGCGAGUGAAGCGGGAAGAGCUCAAAUUUAAAAUCUGGCUUGCUUGCAAGUCCGAGUUGUAGUCUGAAGAAACGUUUUCCAUGAAAGCUGAGGCACAAGUCUUUUGGAACAAGGCAUCAUAGAGGGUGAGAAUCCCGUCCAUGGUYUCAUGCAUUUCAUUUUGUGAUACGUUUUCUAAGAGUCAGGUUGUUUGGGAAUGCAGCCUAAAAUGGGUGGUAAAUUUCAUCUAAAGCUAAAUAUUGGCGAGAGACCGAUAGCGAACAAGUACCGUGAGGGAAAGAUGAAAAGAACUUUGAAAAGAGAGUUAAAAAGUACGUGAAAUUGUUGAAAGGGAACCGUUUGAAGCCAGUCUUGCUUACUUGUGAUCARUCUUAGCUUCGGYUUGGAUGCACUCUCGAGUUAUGCAGGUCAACGUCAGUUUGAGAGGUGGGAAAAAAGUUURAGGAAUGUGGCCUUCGGGUGUUAUAGCCUYUUACUAAAUACCAUCUCCUGGACUGAGGCUCGCAGCAAAAAUGUGGGUUGGUUUGCUCCUGAGGUGAAUCAUURUUAAGACAGCUUGCUGACUUAGUUUUGUGGAUCUUCACGGUAGACCAGCUUCUAAUUUGCUUAGGUCGUUGACAUAAUGGCUUUAAAUGAC